UACAGAGGUGGCAAGCGUUGUUCGGAAUUACUGGGCGUAAAGGGCGCGUAGGCGGUUCGUUAAGUCCUGUGUGAAAUCCCCCGGCUCAACUGGGGAACUGCACAGGAAACUAGCGGGCUUGAGUUCGGGAGAGGGAAGCGGAAUUCCGGGUGUAGCGGUGAAAUGCGUAGAGAUCCGGAGGAACACCAGUGGCGAAGGCAACACGCUGGGCCGUACCUGACACUGAGACGCGAAAGCGUGGGGAGCAAACAGG
rnacentral:rRNA from 1 species